UUAGACAUCUAGCCUAGGCUAACCAUCUAGGCUUUGCCUUUAGUUAAGAGAGAAAAAGAGGCACUUAUAGACAGUAAUUCAUCUCAUCCUAGAAUAAGACAGGCCUUAAGAUAGAUGGACUCCAUUUGGAAAACUUUCUCCCACAUGGGCUUCAGUAGAAGACCUCUACCUAAGUUUCAGUUGGCUAAAGCAAGAACACAGAAGCCUUCAAUGGAAAGAUGGGUUUGGAUCAAGAUUUUGGAUACAAACAGCUUCAAUUUACAGAUUUUUUUAGAACAUGACUGCAAGUUUGCCAUGGCACAUAUCACACAGGAAUUCUGAAGCAAAGAGGACAUAGAUGGGAUUUCUCUCUUUCUUCUCCCCUCCUCAAAGCCUUACAAAGAAAAAAUUCUGCAAAUUCACAGCAAAUUCACGCUGCUUGUCCAGUCCAACAAAAUUUUAGCCUUCUACAUGAAGAUAUUGCUGUCUAACAUUAAUAAACCUGACAAAGUUAAACUA